CUUUAACACUCUCCAUGCCUGUUCCUUGCCCAGCCCAUUCAAGAGGAACCUCCCAGCUUUAAUCUCUGAAAGUGGAGACUGGGCCUUGCAAUUCUGCUCUACAUGCGUCUUCAGCGGUAAUCUACCGUAAAUAGUUUUUUGAAGCAAGAAGAUGACAAUACCAGGCAGCAUCCUCCUUACCAUUAUAGUCCAUCCGCAUUGUUUUCUGUCGGCGCAGAAGUUCAUCUGUCAUUAAUCGGUUUGGAUGGAGGUUUGUGGACAUCUGGAAUCUACAGCUGACCCUUACAAGGCUGUGGG